UAAAUCUAAAAGCCUCUGCAUCCUCAUG
rnacentral:sRNA from 1 species